rnacentral:rRNA from 1 species
GUGGGGAAUAUUGGACAAUGGGCGAAAGCCUGAUCCAGCCAUGCCGCGUGUGUGAAGAAGGUCUUCGGAUUGUAAAGCACUUUAAGUUGGGAGGAAGGGCAGUAAGUUAAUACCUUGCUGUUUUGACGUUACCGACAGAAUAAGCACCGGCUAACUUCGUGCCAGCAGCCGCGGUAAUACGAAGGGUACAAGCGUUAAUCGGAAUUACUGGGCGUAAAGCGCGCGUAGGUGGUUUUGUAAGUUGGAGGUGAAAUCCCCGGGCUCAACCUGGGAACUGCCUCCAAAACUGCAUGACUAGAGUACGGUAGAGGGUAGUGGAAUUUCCUGUGUAGCGGUGAAAUGCGUAGAUAUAGGAAGGAACACCAGUGGCGAAGGCGACUACCUGGACUGAUACUGACACUGAGGUGCGAAAGCGUGGGGAGCAAACAGGAUUAGAUACCCUUGUAGUCC